GUGCUCUGGAUGCCGGAAAGGCUCGUGCCCGUGAUGGAGCAGGCCUUAGUUUGCAACUUUCUGUAGCUUUUUCUGAUUCUGUGCAGAGGCCCCUCCGUACCAGACAGUGAUGCAACCAGUUAGACUGCUCUCCACUGCACAUCUGCAGAAAUUUCUAUGUGGUGAAGUCUUUAAUUCAAUGUUUACUGUUUUUAACAAUUAAUUUGCUUGAAGCUUAUUUGAAAUCAGUCAGGCUAGCAUAUUUUUAGUUUCUGCUUUGAAUAUAGAUUUAUCUUCCUUUAAAACUUUUGGCUACUCCAACAAUUUUUUUCUGAAUUGCUGAUGGUUCAGUGAUAUGACGCUUUUUCACAAAUAGGUGUGUUUUGUAAUUGUUCAUCAACAUUUCUGAGAAGAGCUUGCCCCACUUUUGCUCCUUUCAAGGAUAUGCAUACAUACUGAAAGCAAAUAUUUACCUCCUCCUGAGAAGAUGUAUUCACUUCUGUAACUGUGUUUCCCAAAAAACACUUUUCAAAACUUAUCCUCAAGGAUUUAUUUUGUAGAUCGUCUUUGCAAUUGAGCUGAUUUGUCAUAGAGUCAUAGAGAAAUACACCACAGAAACAGGCCCUUCAGUCCAUCUAGUCUAUGCUGAAAACCAUUUAAACUGCCUACUCUCAGCAACCUGCUCUGACACUAUAGCCCUCUAUAUCAUUACCAUCCAUGUAUCUGUCCAAACUUCUCUCAAACAUUGAAAUCAAGCUCGCAUGGAUCACUUGUGCUGCCAGCUCAUUCCACACUGUCAUGACUCUUGGAGUGAAGAUGUUUCCGCUCAUGUUUCCCUUAAACUUCUCACCUUUCAGCCUUAACCCAUGACCUCUGGUUGAGGUCCCACCCAACCUCAGUGGAAAAAACCUCCUUGCAUUUACCCUAUCUAUACCCCUCAUAAUUUUUUAUACCUCCAUCAAAUCUCCUCUCAAUCUUCUACAUUCCAAGGAAUAAAGUCCUAACCUAUUCAAUAUUUCCUUAUAACUCAGGUCCUCCAGAUCCAGCAACAUCCCUGUAAAUUUUCUCUGCACUCUUUCAACCUUGUUUACAUCUUUCCUGUAGGUAGGUGACCAAAACUGCACUCAAUACUCCAAAUAAGGCCUCACUAAUGUCUUAUACAUCUUCAACAUAAGGUCUUAUCUAUUGUACUCAAUAAAUUGGCUUAUGAAGACCAACGUGCCAAAAGCUUUCUUUAUGACCCUAUCUACCAGUGCUGCCACUUUCACUGAAUUAUGUACCUGUAUUCUUAGAUCCCUUUGUUGUUUUUAAAAUAUUUUAAUGCCCUUCUUUGAAAUUGACACACCAAUUUAUUCAUUAAAAAAUCUUUUAAAACUUCUUUCUUUUCCAUUGAUACAAUUUGCUCUUUUCAUAUUUAUUUAGCAGGGCAGACUCAAUGGGCUGAAUGGCCUAAUGCUUCGCCUGUGUUGUAUGGAUUUAUGGAAUAUAUUUCACCCAAUCACCAGUGUGGAGUGUUGAACUGAAUAUGCCUAUUUGUAGUGCAGUUGAAACAGACCACUCUUACCAAACAGAAGCUAAUCCUCCUCCCACAUCUCAUGUUCUCCUUCCUCUUUUGAUCAUUUGGCUAUCAUGAGCAAGUGAGUUUCAUAGCUGAACCAUCUCGAGAGUGGUGAGCUAAUGGAUUAUGUAAGAUGAUGGAGUAGAGAGGACUUCGGGUGCUUGCCAGACCAUGUGACAUGAAUCACAAUCUUCGCCUGAAGCUGUGGAACAUUUCAUGAAUAUUAACCUGCAGAUUUGUACUGCAUGAGGGAGCAAGGAAAGCACAAAAGAGAGAGAGGGAGGGAGAGAGAGACAUCGAGAAAUAAAAUUAGUGAACAAGAAGUGUUAGAAAGAAAGAAAGCAGAUGGGUAUAAGAGACAACCGGAUAGACAGAAAAAGAGUGAGAGAGGCAGAGACAAAUAAAGAAGGGUGGAAGUAAAGAGACAGAUGGGCCAUUAGAGGAAAGGGUGAGGGGGAGACAAAGCUUGAGAUAGUGAUAGAGACAGACAGAUGGAUAUAGGCAGAGAGAGAGAGGAACAGAUAGACUGACUGAAGCAAAGUAAAAGGAGAAAGAGGAAGGUUGAGCGGUGUGGUUGAAGGCAAGAGUAAAACAUAGAAAUAAAAACAAAACUGAGCAAAAGAAGAUAAAUAGAAUGAAGGUGAAAGGGAGAAAAUACCAGGACCACCGACAGAUAGAAAGAGAGCUGGGGAGGGAGUGAGAUAGAUAAAUAAACAGAGAGAGAGCGAGUGAAGGACUUACGAGAAGGAAGGGCUUGGUUGUGCUAUGCACCAGUCGGGUGGUGCCUUUGAUUGGCGGUGCUUGGUGGGAGCGGCAGAUUGCUGGCGAGGCCGUUUGAUGUCUGAGAUGUGAACUCGCCACCAGCUGCCUGUGAGCACCGCUGCCCGCAAGGCUCGGAGAAAGCGAGCCAAGUGACCCCGCCUAUGCUGAAGCUUCCAGGGAGGGGGCUGCCGCCGGCGAUUCCCACGCAGCCCGGCAUAAAGCGCAUUCCUCGUACCCCCUCCCUCGCUCUCCCUUUCUGUGUGUCUGCCCGCGUGUGAAGGCCAGGUUACUCCGCAUGAGUUCCCUGCUGAUCUGCUCAUGUGUGUAUUUUCUCUUUCUCUCCCUCUCUCUCUCCGCCGUUGCCAUUUUUUAACCGAGGAUUCAUAUGCAAAUCGAGGGCAGGGCCGGUGCAUUUUCUCACAUAAACUUGAUCUGCCGAUGAAUACAGCCCUCUGUUCCUGCUAACGCUGCGUUGGCUUAAGAUCCUGCUGCCGGCCAGUAAACAGAGAGACAGACGGAAGAAGAAAAUUAAUAAAAGGAGCGAAGAGAGGUUUUUUUUUGCCUGGAAAUCAACCUCUUGCUCGGCUGUCACUCUGGCUGACGACUCUCAAGGCAACAGACGGACGUGACCGCUGCAGUCUGUGGCUAUGGCACCCUGAGGAGAGAGCGGCGAAUGGGGAUGAGCCAGCGUGUGUCGAUGGCUGCGUACCCACAGUUUGAAAGUCUGUCCAUGACUGUUAUCUUCCAGACAUCUACAGUGAGGAAAUAAAUGAAGUCUGACAAGACAUGAACGAAAUGAAGGAAACAUCCAGUGACAGACCAUAGCUACAAGACAGAGGUAAUGCUGCCUUGAGGAAAGUUUCACAACUGCAAGCAUUUGGAGAAUGCAGCUAAGGGUCAGCUCCAGGCUCGUUGAAUGCCAUGUGUAUCUGUAAAAGGAAAGUCCUACCGCUCGCCUGAAGGAAGAGGACUGCUGCUAGGUCAGACUACACAGCGAGAGACCAGACAGUGGCAGCUGUGGGAGAUUUGCAUUGGUUUGUUUUCCAAACUUUUCCCUCCUACCCCUCAAUCUGCAGAAGGCAAUGACCUAGAGUUCUUGAAGGGCCGUGCAUACAGGGAGGGUAGUCUGUUGUGUUCCCUCAAUCAGUCCCACUCCCACUAGGAGACCUACACAUGUAAAAUGCUAGAGGAACUCUGCAGGUCAGGCAGCAUGGAAAGGAAUCUCAGGUUUUUCAUUUUAAAUAUAAAGAUGAAGAUUAGCGUUAUUUGUCACAUUCACAUUGAAAUAUCAGAACACACAGUGAAAUACAUCAUUUUUGUGUCAACAACCAAUUUACAAACCUACAAGUGGUGCCAACCUAGCACGCCAACAAAUCCCUAACCUUAACCCAUAGGAAUGUAAAUGUGGAAGGGAACUGGAACAUCCGGAGGAAACCCAUGGAGUAACAGUGAAAACUCCUUACAGACAGUGGUCGGAUCUUACAGCCGACACUGUCAAGGUCUGGAAAAGAAGGGGGAAGGAGCCAGAAAAAGACGGCGGGAAGGGGAAGAAGUGCAAGCUGGCAGAUGAUAGAUGAGACCAGAUGAGAGGGAAGGUGGGUGGGGUGUGCAGUAGGAAGCUGGGAGUUGAUGGGUGGAAGAGGUGAAGGGCUGAAGAAGGAAUCCGAUAGAAGAGGAGAGUGGACCAUGGGGGGAGGGGCAUGAGAGGGAGGGAAGGGGAAGAGAAGGAGUAAGAGGGGAAGCUAGAAUGGGGAAUGGCAAAAGAGAGAAUUGGGGGAGACCCCAGGGAUACUGAUGGUGAGAAUUCAGCAAUGAUUUCUCUUGAUGGAGAUGUUUAUUUCCCAACAUUAGAAUAUAGAACAUAGAACAGUGUAGUAGAUGAACAGGCCCCUCAGCCCAUAACGUUGUGUUCCCUGUAUAUUCAACUGCCUCCUAAUUACCACCUAUUAUAUUUCUAAUGUUGUACAUACAAAUCAGUUCAUUACACUGUGCAUUGGGGUGGUACAAGGUAAAACAAUAACUGAUACAGAAAAAAAUGCAGUGUACACAGACAAUAGUUGCAAGAUUAUAUUGAGGAACAUUGUGAGGUCAAGAGUCCAUCUUAUUGUCACUUUGGAGACAUGGUGUUGCCAGAAGGGGUUUGCUAAUUAUGCAUUUAAUUACUGCUUCAAUUAGUUCAGCAAUGCCCAGGAAUGGAAAAGUUUACAGAAAGUGGUGGAUACGGCCCAGUCCAUCACAGGCAAAGCCCUUCCCAUCAGUCAGCACAUCACCGCGGAGUGCUGCCACGAGAAAACAGCAUCCAUCAUCAAGGAGCCCCACCAUCCAGGCCAUGCUCUCUUCUCACUGCUGCUAUUAGGAAGUACAGGAGCCUUAGAUCCCACGCCACCAGGUUAUUACUCCUCAACCAUCAGGCUCCUGAACUGGCGUGGAUAACUUCACUCAACUCUGAACUGAUUCCACAACCUACAGACUCACUUUCAAAGACUCUGCAACUCCUGUUCUUAGUAGUAUUUAUUUAUUUGUCUAUCUAGCCAUUACUUAUUUGUUUAUUUGUUUAUUAUUUAUUUACUUAUUUAUUUUAUUUUUUUUUGUAUUUGCGCAGUUUGUCUUCUUUGUAUUGUUUGUUAGACUUUGUGUAUAGUUUUUCAUUGAUUCUAUUGUAUAUCUCUAUUUUACUUUGAAUGCCCGCAAGAAAAUGAAUCUCAGGGUGGCAUAUGCGUACUUAAAUAAUAAAUUUACUUUGAACAACAUUGUGGGUUGAAGGACCUCGUCCUGUGCUGUCCUGUUCUAUGUCCGAGUCCUGUAGCCUUUGUUUUUCCCAACAAUCUCAAUCAUUUCUUGAUAUCAUGUGAACUGAGGGCUAAAUGGCCUACUGUAUCUGUUCAUGUUCUAACACAGAUCUUUAGAGUUUCACACAUUUCGACACCGUCAGGUUUUCACAGCCACAACCAGAAUCGUAAUCAGAACAAGGUUUAAGGUCACUGACAUCUGUUGUGAAAUGUAUGGUUUGGUGGCAGCAGUACAGUGCAAUACAUAAAAACAAAAAUAUAAAUUACAAUAAGAAAUAAAAAUUAAAUUAAGUAAAUAGUCCAAGUAGAGAGCGUAAGUAGUGAGGUACUGUUCAUAGCCUGGUCCAUUGUCCAUUCAGAAAUCUGAUGGCGGGGAGAAGUUCCUGAGUGUGCAUCUUCGGGCUCCUGUACCUCCUUCCUGAUGUAGCAAUGAGUACAGGAUAAUGAGAAUCCGUAAAGAUGGAUGCUGUCUUUCUGAGGCAUCGACUUUUGAAGUUGCUGGGUAGGGAAGUGUGCGUGAUGGAGCUGGCUGAGUUCACAACUUUCUGCAGCCCUUUCCGAUCCUUUGCAGUGACCCCCCCCCUCCCUCCCAUACCAGAUGGUGAUGCAACCAGUUAGAAUGCUCUCCACAAUACACCUGUAGAAAUUUGCAAGAGUCUGUGGUGACAAACCAAAUCUCCUCAAACUCCUAAUGAAAUACAGUUGUUUGUGUGCCUCCUUCCUAUUUUCCAAGCAGGUGAGGGUUAAUCCAUUGAGUUUUCAUUGUGAAUGAUCUCAUCCUUCUCUGUUUCCCCUUUUCAUCCUUUUGCUCAUGGUUUGAUCAUUUUUUUCUUGUUCCAACAUUCUUUCUCUAACUAAUGUAUUUUUUAUUAUUAUUACCAAAUAAAUUUUAUCUGAUGACAAUAUAUCCUUGUGUCUCUGUUGAUGAGUGGAUAAUACUCACUUCUUCAGGUGUGACCAACUGGGAACAGCCAUAAGAUUGACUGUGUCUUCACAUG